AAUGCAGUGCUAAAGGCGAAGUUCUUACCAUGAAAGAAAUCACAAAGAAGUUGACUUUCUUUGACUUCGGGGGCCAAUGUGCGUACUACGCCUGUCACCAGAUUUACCUGUCCAGGAGAGCUUUCUAUAUUGUGGUGGUAGACGCUUCAAAACGUCUUGAUCAACAGGUCGAUAAAGCUGUAUGUGAUCAAGAGGGCAGUAUUUUCAGUGGAUGGACAUAUGGAGUCCAUACAUACGUAUUGUGGUGUCGGGAAAGAAGGAGACCAGAGUCCUUUGGUCCUUAUUGUAGCUACUCACUGGGAGUACAAGAUUGAAGAGUACAAGG